CGCGCCCCCCGCCCGCUCCCGGCGGGGGCGGCCCCGGCAGCCGCUCUUCGCCCCCUGCUUUUCCAGCAACCGAGGGAACAAGGCAUGGAGGGGGAAUCAAGCUCGGUUAACCAGUCCGAAGGGCGUCGGGUCACGCUGGGAAACGCGGCGGUGAGGAGAGAAGCUCCCGGAGGAGUAUCAUUAGUUGUCCCACAACCCAACAUCAAUGCAACAGUGGCACAAAACAUCCUCCUCUCAGUUGAAUACUCUUGCAGAGGCAUUGCCACCAUUGAGUGGAAGCAUGUGUCAAGUUGGGGCACCACCAGCAUCGUUGAGUGGAAAAUUGGGAAUUAUGUCAACAUAUCCACAGUCUACAAGGACAGAGUGACUACUUUUGAAAAUGGCUCUAUACAGCUUCACAACGUGGGCAUGCGAGAUGCUGGCUACUAUUUUGUCACUGUAACAGAGGAGUAUGGAAACAACGCCUACGGCACCAUCAUAGUCAAUGUUUACGAAAUUAUCUAUGAAGAUUUACAUUUUGUAGCAGUUCUCUUUGCCUUUCUCGCUGCAGUCUCUGCCAUUCUGAUCUGCUUCAUGUGGCUGUGUAAUAAAUCUCUGCAUCUGUUUCAGAAGAAGACACACAAACUCACAGCAAGUACAACGGAAGAGAUUGAAUUGGAAACCAUUGAGUGUUAGCCAAGGACUGUAUCAUAGCAAAAAUAACGAUUCUACCUCAGGAGAAAAUACUGACCAAGAAAGCAAGAACAAACCUAGAAGGACAGACUGACAGAGCUUCCCCUCUGGUCAGGGACUAGGAUGACCAGGUGCAGAGGUACUAUGGGUUCCAUUUGGAAAAACUCAGAGAAUUUCUCACCAAGUGAAAAACGAUGCAGUACAAGAAAGGGAAGAAUAAUGUGUAUGAGUCUACCUGAGAUAAAAGGAAAUCCUGCAGUUCUUGCUCUUGAUGGGACAAUGUAAUAACUCUUCCGUCUCUAUGCACAACUCUGAUUUGUUCAACUCCAAUGUUCAGCUGUAGCUGAAUGGAUCUUUGAAGAUAAGAGGCAUAUUUAUUCAAAAUGCACUACAACAGUAAAGAAAAUAGGAAACUAAGAACACAGAAUCCCCCCAGUCAUUGACAAGAACUCUCAAGAUGGAUGGUGCAAAGCCUACGGAAUGUGACAGCAACUCCAACCAUUUCAGUUUCAUCACUCACCACAACAGCUCCCUCUAUACUGCAGGGGACAUACUCUGUGGCGUGUUCCCAGACCUGUCCCACUGCUUGUUCAGGUCAAGGAAGCCUCACAGUUCCCUGCCUGCCACUGUUGCCCAAGUUUCCUUCCAGAGGUGCAGGGAAAAUGGUGUGUUCUAUACUACAGCCAAGACUUGGGCAGCAUAUGCAUUCUGGAACCAAGACUGGCAAUUGCACCAGUGACAGCAGUUUGCCCCACACUGUGCACACAGAACACUGCUCCAAAUGUAAAAAAACCACUGUCAAUGCAUUUAGUUAAUGUACUGCUGGUCAGCAUCCAGACAUUUGUUUCUGGAAUACGACAUUACUUAUUUUGAUACCAAUGUGCAUAACUAAUUGCAUGAAUUACACGAAUUCCACAUUUCAGUACCUAUACAACCAAGCUAGGACUGAGGACUGAUUAGCUUUCCAUAAGGAGCCUGGAAGUUUAGAAUCCAGCAUAUCAAAUGAUACUUUGUAUUCAGUCAUCUCUACCAAAAGUAAAUCCCUUAAAUGGCCACUCUCGUUUCUAUUUUCUUCUUUGAAAGGAAACUGUGCUAAUUAAAGAUGUAAUACAUUUCUUCAUUAAAGUGCAAAGUGGGUGAAGAGUUUUCUUAGGGUGGCUGCUCACCCCACAACUCAGACAAACAGACACACACAAAUAAUGGACUCCUACUUGUCUGUCUGAGAAGAAUCUAAACCUUUAAAGCACAACUUGGAUACACAUUCUCUGCUGCAUGCUUCUACCAGUAAAGAGAGACAUGCAUUCUCAUACUUACUUGCAGAUCUGCUCAUAUCCUUGAGAAGUUAUUAGAACUUUAACACUGGAUUCAUAAACAUCAUUUAUAUUGGACCAGUGAGCCUGAAUCUGAGGAUCCUCAAUACGACUCGCCAGACUGUCAAUGGUUCGAGCAGUUCUAGAAGAUAAAGCCAUAUCCCACACACAAUGAUCUAGACAGUUUGUGCUGUUCUCUUGUUUAAAGGAACUGAGCAGGUUAUUCCAUUUAAGGGAACCAUGUGGAUCAAAGCUCUAUUUCAGCACCAUUCUGGUGCUAAUGAAGGCCACUUGUUUAUUAUGUACAUUUCUCAAGCAUUCAGCAGCCAUAUUAAAGCGGUAUUACUCAGUAUCAACUAUUGCAUUGCAAAGAAUAUGGAAAAAGAUAUUUUAUGCAGUUUAAGAUAAGUAGGGACAAUUAUCAGCAGCGUAUGUCCUAACUGUCACAGCAAUCUCAAAAAAAUCUGACUUUUUUUUUUUACUAGCUGAGUAUUGUUUGCUCGUAUUUUAUCGUAUAUUAUUGUUUCUUAGUACUUGCAAAUAAAGACUAUUUUAACUGUGAAGGAAACAGUGCCUAAUUUUAAGAACACUUAAAAAAGAUCAA